UUUUUAGCCCGACACGCCGCCGUCCGGGCAGGGAAACAGCGCCGCCGCGCCGCUAUAUGCCAUCCUCCGCCCGGUGACGCGCCGUAACCGCCGCCCCUCCUCCGCCUAAAACACUGCGCCAGCUCCAACAUUUCGCCCCUCUUCCACCCGCGGCGCCGCAGCAGCCGGAGAGCUUCAGCAUGACUAGAGCAAGAGGCUGAUCCAGGAAACUUGAGCUCAUUCUCCAACUUUGCAAGCUCUCGCUGAAGAUGCUUCACCAGUGCCUUGUCUGACAGUACAAGAUUGACCUGUGCAUUGGUGACUACAUUUUUUGCACAGUUUGCAAACAAGAGUGUGUUUCUGGACUGCUCAACGUGACAGUGCGCCGGGCUCAUUGUGCAGAUGAUGGCCGUCCUCGCAUUGCCUCCCAAAGACGACUGCAGUAUGCGAGUGAGCUUGGAGUCUCUGUAGGGGAUAUGGCCGUUUCUCCCCCCACUGCAUCAGGAACAAGUGUUUAUAGUUAAUGAGCAUCUACAGAAAAUCAUAUCAAAUUUCAUACACCAACUAGUUCGUCCGAGAGCUUGAACUGGUAAGGAGAGGCGAGCAAUGUACAUAUGUAUGCUCGUACUAAGCGUUGGAUGAUUGGAAUUCGACAAACCUGAGCUGGCGAAUGACCUUUCCCAAUAUCAACAAAAUUCUGCGGAGAAGAAGCUCAGAGACCAAGGCCAUGGAACAAGAUCUGUCAAAGAAUCUAAAACGUGGUGAUAUGAGAUUCAUACCACACAAGCCAGAAGGGUGUUCGAGUUGCCUCUCCCCAAGAACUGCCUUGCCGAGCUCUCAACUGUCUGUGGUUUAUGCAGGGGGUUAAAACACGUACUCCCUCCGUUCCUAAAUACUUGUCCGUUCCUAAGUACUUGUCGUUGUUUUAGUGCAAGUUUGGGUUGCAUUAAAAUAACGACAAGUAUUUAGGAACGGAGGGAGUACACAAUUUCUUGCAGAACAUGAAUGCAGGUCAAUAAUUGAGUGUGAUAGGGGGCACCUACCAGCCUGAGUAUUUGGUGAGACCGUGAACUUGUUUCGUUUAAGGCAGUCUCCCCAAUCUGUCUUUGAGCUGUGGGACAAGAAAAAACAGUGAUCAUCAUCAGACUAGAAGAACCAAGGUUUCCCUCCUUUACGCAAAAAAAAAAGUAGGCUGCUGCAUGCUGUUUCCAUUUUGA